UGGGGAAUAUUGGACAAUGGGCGCAAGCCUGAUCCAGCCAUGCCGCGUGAGUGAUGAAGGCCCUAGGGUUGUAAAGCUCUUUCACCGGUGAAGAUAAUGACGGUAACCGGAGAAGAAGCCCCGGCUAACUUCGUGCCAGCAGCCGCGGUAAUACGAAGGGGGCUAGCGUUGUUCGGAUUUACUGGGCGUAAAGCGCACGUAGGCGGACUUUUAAGUCAGGGGUGAAAUCCCGGGGCUCAACCCCGGAACUGCCUUUGAUACUGGAAGUCUUGAGUAUGGUAGAGGUGAGUGGAAUUCCGAGUGUAGAGGUGAAAUUCGUAGAUAUUCGGGGGAACACCAGGGGCGAAGGCGGCUCACUGGACCAUUACUGACGCUGAGGUGCGAAAGCGUGGGGAGCAAACAGG
rnacentral:rRNA from 1 species